GGAUUAGAUACCCUGGUAGUCCACGCCGUAAACGAUGAGAACUAGAUGUUGGAAGGAUCUGCCUUUCAGUGUCGCAGCUAACGCGUUAAGUUCUCCGCCUGGGGAGUACGCCGGCAACGGUAAAACUCAAAGGAAUUGACGGGGACCCGCACAAGCGGUGGAGCAUGUGGUUUAAUUCGAUGCAACGCGAAGAACCUUACCUGGCCUUGACAUCCUCAGAACUUGUAAGAGAUUACUUGGUGCCUUCGGGAACUGAGUGACAGGUGCUGCAUGGCUGUCGUCAGCUCGUGCCG
rnacentral:rRNA from 1 species